GUGCCAGCAGAGCAGCCGCGGUAAUACAGAGGGGGCAAGCGUUGUUCGGAAUUACUGGGCGUAAAGGGCGCGUAGGCGGCCUGCUAAGUCGAACGUGAAAUCCCCGAGCUCAACUCGGGAACUGCGUCCGAUACUGGCAGGCUUGAAUCCGGGAGAGGGAUGCGGAAUUCCAGGUGUAGCGGUGAAAUGCGUAGAUAUCUGGAGGAACACCGGUGGCGAAGGCGCAUCCUGGACCGGCAUUGACGCUGAGGCGCGAAAGCCAGGGGAGCAAACGGG
rnacentral:rRNA from 1 species